rnacentral:rRNA from 1 species
UGGAAGGGCCAUCGCUCAACGGAUAAAAGGUACUCCGGGGAUAACAGGCUGAUACCGCCCAAGAGUUCAUAUCGACGGCGGUGUUUGGCACCUCGAUGUCGGCUCAUCACAUCCUGGGGCUGAAGUCGGUCCCAAGGGUAUGGCUGUUCGCCAUUUAAAGUGGUACGCGAGCUGGGUUUAGAACGUCGUGAGACAGUUCGGUCCCUAUCUGGUGUGGGCGUUGGAUGAUUGAUGGGAGCUGCUCCUAGUACGAGAGGACCGGAGUGGACGAACCGCUGGUGUUCGGGUUGUCAUGCCAAUGGCAUUGCCCGGUAGCUAUGUUCGGAACGGAUAACCGCUGAAAGCAUCUAAGCGGGAAGCCGGCCCAAAGAUGAGUCAUCCCUGAACUUUAAGUUCUGGAAGGGUUGUUAUAGACGAUGACGUUGAUAGGCAGGGUGUGGAAGCGUUGUAAGGCGUUAAGCUAACCUGUACUAAUUGCCCGAGAGGCUUAACC